rnacentral:rRNA from 1 species
AACGUAGGUACCGAGCGUUAUCCGGAUUUACUGGGCGUAAAGCGCGUUCAGGCGGCUUAGCAAGUCGGGCAUGAAAUCUCUCGGCUCAACCGGGAGGGGCUGUCCGAUACUGCUGGGCUUGAGGGCAGUAGAGGGUGGUGGAAUUCCGGGUGUAGUGGUGAAAUGCGUAGAGAUCCGGAGGAACACCAGUGGCGAAAGCGGCCACCUGGACUGUACCUGGCGCUCAAACGCGAAAGCUAGGGGAGCGAACGGG